GGGCUCAUGGCGCAGUCUGGUAGCGCGCUCGACUGAUAAUCGAGAGGUCCGUCGGUUCAAAUCCGACUGGGCCCA
rnacentral:tRNA from 1 species